UGGUAAACAGGCUUUUGUUUGGAACGGUGUUCACGGAGUUCAAAGGGACUCUGGCACAGUUGAACAGACUUUAAAGGCCCUUCAGCUGGAUUGAGGCUCCUGGGAAGUGGCUUUGUUGUUGUCCAAGUCCUCUCCCAGUGGGUGGCUCAGGCAAGGGGAUGAAUCGGGCUCCUCCAGGGGCUGCUCCGUGGUGGGUCUGGGCAGGGCCAUUCCCUGCAGAGAGAUUCUCAAUGGCAGAGUCCUGCUGCAGGGAAUCCCAGGGAAUGUUUCCACUCAGUCUGGGGAGGUACCUGUGCUCUGGGGCUUUACCAGAAAAUGAAAUUGCAAAACAAAUCCAUGAGGAAACUGCCAAACGUUGUCCUUGCACAACGCUGCGGCUGCUUGGGCUGUUCCCAUGGGAUGCCAGCUUCUCCAUCCACUGUGCAGCCUCAUGACAUGGAAUUGGGAAAGGGUUGGAACAGAGCAGCCCCUGGAGCUUGGGAAAGGGCAGCUCUGGCUGUGACCCCAAGGAUUGAAUCCCAGCCUUGUGCCGGCCCUGGGAGCAUCCUGAGCUCUGGGAUGAGCCAGAGCCUGCCACGCUUGGCUGCCAAGCAGGGAGAUCCCUGCAGGGAUGGGAAUGUGUUCCUUAUCCCUGCAGGGAUGGGAAUCUGCUCCUGCAGGAAUGGGAUCUGCUCCUCAUCCCUGCAGGAAUGGGAAUCUGCUCCCUCAUCCUUGCCAGGACAUCCCAGGAGACCUGAGGGAAGCUCCAGGGGCUCCUCAUUCCAGGUGUUUUUUUGAGGAGUUGCACCCAGGAUGAGGUUUGCACACUGGAGCCCUUCCCAGUUGGAGCUGGAGCUGGGUUGGGAAUGCUGGGGGGAUGCUGCUGGUGCAAGCAAGAGCUCCCAGUUUGAUGAUGCAGUGUAGGAAACGUGGCUUGGGGUCGGUGAUCCUAAAGGGAUCCCAUAUCCAGAGGAUUAUUCCAUGCUUUUCCCCCAUUCCUUGCCUGAGAAGGGGUGUUGCUUCCUCCAGCUGUGGAAAUAGUAAUGAGUAAAAAAGAAAAAAAAAGUAUUUUUUUAAACACUGAAUUAAUUUCUAAACUGCCUAAAAGAGACUUUAUAGCUACAGCCGAGUUCUUCCCGAGGGCUCAGCCCGGCGCAGGGACCGUCCCUGAUCCCAGCUCUGCCUGCGCUGGCAUCAACCUCAGACACGGA
rnacentral:lncRNA from 1 species